rnacentral:rRNA from 1 species
UACGAAGGGGGCUAGCGUUGCUCGGAAUCACUGGGCGUAAAGCGCACGUAGGCGGCUUGUUAAGUCAGGGGUGAAAUCCUGGAGCUCAACUCCAGAACUGCCUUCGAUACUGGCGAGCUUGAGUCCGGGAGAGGUGAGUGGAACUGCGAGUGUAGAGGUGAAAUUCGUAGAUAUUCGCAAGAACACCAGUGGCGAAGGCGGCUCACUGGCCCGGUACUGACGCUGAGGUGCGAAAGCGUGGGGAGCAAACAGG